GUGCUCUCUUCCCCAGCACAUAUACUGAAACGGGAAUGAUGCAGCGAAGAUUAGCAUGGCUCCUGCACAAGGAUGACACGCAAACUUGUGAAGUGUUCAUAUUUUUC